AGAGUUUGAUUCUGGCUCAGAUUAACGCUGGCGGCAGGCCUAACACAUGCAAGUCGAGCGGAGAACUUGUGAUUCAGCGGCGGACGGGUGAGUAAUGCCUAGGAAUCUGCCUGAUAGUGGGGGACAACGUUUCGAAAGGAACGCUAAUACCGCAUAUCCUACGGGAGAAAGCAGGCCUUCGGGCCUUGCGCUAUCAGAUGAGCCUAGGUCGGAUUAGCUAGUUGGUGAGGUAAUGGCUCACCAAGGCGACGAUCCGUAACUGGUCUGAGAGGAUGAUCAGUCACACUGGAACUGAGACACGGUCCAGACUCCUACGGGAGGCAGCAGUGGGGAAUAUUGGACAAUGGGCGAAAGCCUGAUCCAGCCAUGCCGCGUGUGUGAGGUUCGUUGAGCACUUUAAGUUGGGCUAAUACACCGACAGAAUAAGCACCGGCAACUUCGUGCCAGCAGCCGCGGUAAUACGAAGGGUGCAAGCGUUAAUCGGAAUUACUGGGCGUAAAGCGCGCGUAGGUGGUUUGUUAAGUUGAAUGUGAAAGCCCCGGGCUCAACCUGGGAACUGCAUCCAAAACUGGCAAGCUAGAGUAUGGCAGAGGGUGGUGGAAUUUCCUGUGUAGCGGUGAAAUGCGUAGAUAUAGGAAGGAACACCAGUGGCGAAGGCGACCACCUGGGCUAUACUGACACUGAGGUGCGAAAGCGUGGGGAGCAAACAGGAUUAGAUACCCUGGUAGUCCACGCCGUAAACGAUGUCGACUAGCCGUUGGGAUCCUUGAGAUCUUAGUGGCGCAGCUAACGCAUUAAGUCGACCGCCUGGGGAGUACGGCCGCAAGGUUAAAACUCAAAUGAAUUGACGGGGGCCCGCACAAGCGGUGGAGCACGUGGUUUAAUUCGAUGCAAACCGAAGAACCUUACCUGGGUACAUGUACGUGUUACUGAGGUGAAAGCUGAGCACAAGCGUCAAGGUGCUGCAUGGCUGUCGUCAGCUCGUGUCGUGAGAUGUUGGGUUAAGUCCCGCAACGAGCGCAACCCCUGCAUUCAGUUGCCAUCGGUGAGGCCGGGCACUCUGGAUGGACUGCCGGCGACAAGCCGGAGGAAGGUGGGGACGACGUCAAGUCAUCAUGGCCCUUAUGUCCAGGGCGACACACGUGCUACAAUGGCCGGCACAGCGGGAAGCGAAGGGGCGACUCUGAGCGAUCCCUUAAAGCCGGUCCCAGUUCGGAUUGCAGUCUGCAACUCGACUGCAUGAAGUUGGAAUCGCUAGUAAUCGUGGAUCAGCAAGCCGCGGUGAAUACGUUCCCGGGCCUUGUACUCACCCCCGUC
rnacentral:rRNA from 1 species